GGGGGUAUAGCUCAGCUGGGAGAGCGCUUGAAUGGCAUUCAAGAGGUCAGCGGUUCGAUCCCGCUUAUCUCCA
rfam:Veillonella sp. CAG:933 genomic scaffold, scf153